UGACCUCGGAUCAGGUAGGAAUACCCGCUGAACUUAAGCA
rnacentral:rRNA from 6 species